rnacentral:rRNA from 1 species
GAUGAACGCUAGCUACAGGCUUAACACAUGCAAGUCGAGGGGCAGCAUGGACAUAGCUUGCUAUGUUUGAUGGCGACCGGCGCACGGGUGCGUAACACGUAUCCAAUCUGCCCGUUACUCGGGGAUAGCCUUCUGAAAGGAAGAUUAAUACCCGAUGGCAUGUAUUUCCGGCAUCGGAGAUACCAUUUAAAGAUUUAUCGGUAACGGAUGAGGAUGCGUACGAUUAGCUAGUUGGCGGGGUAACGGCCCACCAAGGCGACGAUCGUUAGGGGUUCUGAGAGGAAGGUCCCCCACACUGGAACUGAGACACGGUCCAGACUCCUACGGGAGGCAGCAGUGAGGAAUAUUGGGUCCAAUGGUCGGAAGACUGAACCAGCCAAGUAGCGUGAAGGAUGACUGCCCUACGGGUUGUAAACUUCUUUUGUUGGAAUAAAGACGCUACGUGUAGCGUUCUGCAUGUACCUUACGAAUAAGCAUCGGCUAAUUCCGUGCCAGCAGCCG